rnacentral:misc_RNA from 1 species
GAUGAAAACGUAGCGAAAUGCGAUAAGUAAUGUGAAUUGCAGAAUUCAGUGAAUCAUCGAAUCUUUGAACGCACAUUGCGCCCCUUGGUAUUCCGAGGGGCAUGCCUGUUCGAGCGUCAUUAUAACCCCUCAAGCUCAGCUUGGUGUUGGGGCCUGCUGCACUGGCAGCCCUUAAAAUCAGUGGCGGCGCCAUCUGGCUCUAAGCGUAGUAAUUCUUCUCGCUAUGGAGUCCUGGUGGAUGCUUGCCAUCAACCCCCAAUUUUUCUAUGGUUGACCUCGGAUCAGGUAGGGAUACCCGCUGAACUUAAGCAUAUCAAUAAGCGGAGGA